GACUGGUUCAAAUCAGACUCACUCUUACAGGGAAGCCAUGCAGUGGAUCUGCCCCUUCAUCUACCUCAUGCUUUUUGGUGAAGGAGCCAUGCCAAAGACUGUGUUAGAACAGCAAGAAAAGACUGUAACUUUGCUGGUUGGAGAGACAAGAACCCUCAAGUGCAUCAUGACAGAAGGACGUAUGGAAAACCAUCUUAUGUACUGGUACAGAAAGAAUCAGGACAACACUCUGACAUUUAUACAUAAGGAAGGUGACAUCUAUGGUUCUGGUUUCCGAGAGAAAUUUCAGGGUGAGAUUGAUAAUGACAACAAUAAGUUCAUACUUCAAAUUAUCAAGGCCACAGUGAAAGAAGAAGGAAUUUAUUACUGUGCAGCCGAAUACCACAGUGCUUCAGCUCCUUUCCUGAGUAAUUCAGAAAUUAAGUCAGUGAACUCCAAGAGCCUUACUUUUUAUAAGAGUUAUUAAGUUAUUAUAAGUAAGAGUCACUUAUCUCAGAGCUAAAUGAGAUCUCACUACUCAGGGUCAUAGGUUAUAGAGCUAGACCUGAGAGGGA